UACUUAAGGUCCAGAAACACGAUGGCAAAGACGAGAUUAUUAAAAAUGUGGUACGUGGAUGAAAAUCUCCCACUAUCUAUGUUACUAUGUUACAAGGUCUUGUUUCAGUGACUGUUUUUUGACCUAGUA
rnacentral:pre_miRNA from 1 species